rnacentral:rRNA from 1 species
GUUGUAUGGUUAAGUGACUAAGCGUACACGGUGGAUGCCUUGGCAGUCAGAGGCGAUGAAAGACGUAGUAACUUGCGAUAAGCCCAGAUUAGGUAGUAACAACCAUUUGAGUCUGGGAUUUCUGAAUGGGGAAACCCACUUACAUAAGUAAGUAUCAUUAACUGAAUACAUAGGUUAAUGAGGCGAACCGGGGGAACUGAAACAUCUAAGUACCCCGAGGAAAAGAAAUCAACCGAGAUUCCGAAAGUAGCGGCGAGCGAAAUUGGACUAGCCCUUAAGCUUUACACGCGUUAGACGAACGGUCUGGAAAGUCCGACGAUACAGGGUGAUAGUCCCGUAGUUGACGACGUGUGUUCAGUGAAAUCGAGUAGGGCGGGACACGUGAUAUCCUGUCUGAAUAUGGGGGGACCAUCCUCCAAGGCUAAAUACUACUGACUGACCGAUAGUGAACCAGUACCGUGAGGGAAAGGCGAAAAGAACCCCUGUGAGGGGAGUGAAAUAGAACCUGAAACCGUGUACGUACAAGCAGUAGGAGCAGGCUUUGUCCUGUGACUGCGUACCUUUUGUAUAAUGGGUCAGCGACUUAUAUUCAGUGGCAAGGUUAACCAUCUAGGGGAGCCGUAGGGAAACCGAGUCUUAACUGGGCGUUCAGUCUCUGGAUAUAGACCCGAAACCAGGUGAUCUAGCCAUGGGCAGGUUGAAGGUUGAGUAACAUCAACUGGAGGACCGAACCGACUAAUGUUGAAAAAUUAGCGGAUGACUUGUGGCUAGGGGUGAAAGGCCAAUCAAACCUGGAGAUAGCUGGUUCUCCCCGAAAGCUAUUUAGGUAGCGCCUCGGACGAAUACUACUGGGGGUAGAGCACUGUUAAGGCUAGGGGGUCAUCCCGACUUACCAACCCUUUGCAAACUCCGAAUACCAGUAAGUACUAUCCGGGAGACACACGGCGGGUGCUAACGUCCGUCGUGGAGAGGGAAACAACCCAGACCGCCAGCUAAGGUCCCAAAUUACUACUAAGUGGGAAACGAUGUGGGAAGGCUCAGACAGCCAGGAUGUUGGCUUAGAAGCAGCCAUCAUUUAAAGAAAGCGUAAUAGCUCACUGGUCGAGUCGGCCUGCGCGGAAGAUGUAACGGGGCUAAGUAGUAAACCGAAGCUGCGGCAAUAUACUUUUGUAUAUUGGGUAGGGGAGCGUUCUGUAAGCGGUUGAAGGUGUGUGGUAACGCAUGCUGGACGUAUCAGAAGUGCGAAUGCUGACAUGAGUAACGAUAAAGGGGGUGAAAAACCUCCUCGCCGGAAGACCAAGGGUUCCUGUCCAACGUUAAUCGGGGCAGGGUAAGUCGACCCCUAAGGCGAGGCCGAAAGGCGUAGUCGAUGGGAAACGGGUUAAUAUUCCCGUACUUCUUACAAUUGCGAUGGGGGGACGGAGAAGGCUAGGUGGGCCUGGCGACGGUUGUCCAGGUUCAAGUGCGUAGGCUUAAGAGUUAGGUAAAUCCGGCUCUUUUUAAGGCUGAGACACGACGUCGAGCACCUACGGGUGUGAAGUCAUUGAUGCCAUGCUUCCAGGAAAAGCCUCUAAGCUUCAGAUUGUAAGGAAUCGUACCCCAAACCGACACAGGUGGUCGGGUAGAGAAUACCAAGGCGCUUGAGAGAACUCGGGUGAAGGAACUAGGCAAAAUGGUACCGUAACUUCGGGAGAAGGUACGCUCUUGAUGGUGAAGUCCCUUGCGGAUGGAGCUGACGAGAGUCGCAGAUACCAGGUGGCUGCAACUGUUUAUUAAAAACACAGCACUGUGCAAAAUCGUAAGAUGACGUAUACGGUGUGACGCCUGCCCGGUGCCGGAAGGUUAAUUGAUGGGGUUAGACUUCGGUCGAAGCUCUUGAUCGAAGCCCCGGUAAACGGCGGCCGUAACUAUAACGGUCCUAAGGUAGCGAAAUUCCUUGUCGGGUAAGUUCCGACCUGCACGAAUGGCGUAAUGAUGGCCACGCUGUCUCCACCCGAGACUCAGUGAAAUUGAAAUCGCUGUGAAGAUGCAGUGUACCCGCGGCUAGACGGAAAGACCCCGUGAACCUUUACUACAGCUUGGCACUGAACAUUGACCCUACAUGUGUAGGAUAGGUGGGAGGCUUUGAAGCACGUACGCCAGUAUGUGUGGAGCCGUCCUUGAAAUACCACCCUUGUAGUGUUGAUGUUCUAACGUCGACCCCUAAUCGGGGUUGCGGACAGUGCCUGGUGGGUAGUUUGACUGGGGCGGUCUCCUCCCAAAGAGUAACGGAGGAGCACGAAGGUGGGCUAAUCACGGUUGGACAUCGUGAGGUUAGUGCAAUGGCAUAAGCCCGCUUGACUGCGAGAAUGACAAUUCGAGCAGGUGCGAAAGCAGGUCAUAGUGAUCCGGUGGUUCUGAAUGGAAGGGCCAUCGCUCAACGGAUAAAAGGUACUCCGGGGAUAACAGGCUGAUACCCC